UUCUGGCUCAAAAUGUUUUUUAAAUUGCUGUGGUAUUUUGACUAUACAAAGGUAUUGAAAUAAGGUUUUAAUUGAAUGCUAAAAGAAUGGAAUAUCAAAGAAUAACUUUCUUAAAAUUAAAAAUUGAAAUUUUUUUAAUUUGUGUAAAAACAAUUAUAAAAAUUAAAGACAAGAAGACCCUAAGAAUUUUUAAAAUUUAAAUUAAUACAUUUUUGUUUUAAUUAAAUUUUAACUGGGGCGGUUAAAAAAUAUUAAAAACUUUUUAAUUUUGAAAAUGGUCCAUUAUUAAUGAAAAUAUGAUAAAAUACUCUAGGGAUAACAGCGUUAUAUUUUUUGAUAGAUCAUAUUGACAAAAAAGUUUGCGACCUCGAUGUUGGAUUAGGAUACUUUUUUAAUGAAGAUAUUAAAAUAAGAAGUUUGUUCAACUUUUAAAUUCCUACUUGAUCUGAUUUCAGACCGGA
rnacentral:rRNA from 1 species